GGGCCCGCACAAGCGGUGGAGUAUGUGGUUUAAUUCGAUGCAACGCGAAGAACCUUACCAGGGUUUGACAUCCUGCGAAUCUCCUGGAAACGGGAGAGUGCCUUCGGGAGCGCAGUGACAGGUGGUGCAUGGCUGUCGUCAGCUCGUGUCGUGAGAUGUUGGGUUAAGUCCCGCAACGAGCGCAACCCACGUCUUUAGUUGCCAGCAUUCAGUUGGGCACUCUAGAGAGACCGCCGGUGAUAAACCGGAGAAGGUGGGGACGACGUCAAGUCAUCAUGCCCCUUAUGUCCAGGGCUGCACGCAUGCUACAAUGGCAAGUACAACGAGUCGCAAUACCGCGAGGUGGAGCA
rnacentral:rRNA from 1 species